rnacentral:rRNA from 1 species
UACGAAGGGGGCUAGCGUUGCUCGGAAUCACUGGGCGUAAAGGGUGCGUAGGCAGGUCUUUAAGUCAGGGGUGAAAUCCUGGAGCUCAACUCCAGAACUGCCUUUGAUACUGAAGAUCUUGAGUUCGGGAGAGGUGAGUGGAACUGCGAGUGUAGAGGUGAAAUUCGUAGAUAUUCGCAAGAACACCAGUGGCGAAGGCGGCUCACUGGCCCGAUACUGACGCUGAGGCACGAAAGCGUGGGGAGCAAAACGG